AAGUCAUGUUGAAGGCAAGUUUGUAAAAUUCCCUUCUAACUCUCCCAUGCGUCGUAUAACGACUCCCCAUCAUUUUGUUGGAAAUUUGCAAUGUUCUUCAUUAAUUU